AGUGAACGCUGGCGGUAGGCCUAACACAUGCAAGCCGAACGGCAGCACAGUAAGAGCUUGCUCUUACGGGUGGCGAGUGGCGGACGGGUGAGGAAUACAUCGGAAUCUACUUUUUCGUGGGGGAUAACGUAGGGAAACUUACGCUAAUACCGCAUACGACCUACGGGUGAAAGCAGGGGAUCUUCGGACCUUGCGCGAUUGUAUGUGCCGAUGUCGGAUUAGCUAGUUGGCGGGGUAAAGGCCCACCAAGGCGACGAUCCGUAGCUGGUCUGAGAGGAUGAUCAGCCACACUGGAACUGAGACACGGUCCAGACUCCUACGGGAGGCAGCAGUGGGGAAUAUUGGACAAUGGGCGCAAGCCUGAUCCAGCCAUACCGCGUGGGUGAAGAAGGCCUUCGGGUUGUAAAGCCCUUUUGUUGGGAAAGAAAAGCAGCAGGUUAAUACCCCGCUGUUCUGACGGUACCCAAAGAAUAAGCACCGGCUAACUUCGUG
rnacentral:rRNA from 1 species